AUAUAAGAGUGUCUAUAUUGAUUUAUUUUUUAUUACAGGUUUACAACUGUGCUCAUGUUGGAUACGAUCACGAAACUGAGGACUAUAAGAACGUUAAAAAAUGCAUAAACAGAGCAUACGCAGCCUGGAAAAGUGGAAACUUUUGAAUCCCAAACCAGUGUUUUUAUCACAAUAUAGUAAAAGACAGCAAAUAGCAGCUGUUGUUGUUUUUCAGUAGAAUUUCAUAAAGUAUUAUGUUACUGUUCAGAAAAUAAUAAUAAUUGGUAUGAAAUAAAGUGUAACCUCUCUUAUUAAAAUGUUGUGAGCGCUA